rnacentral:misc_RNA from 1 species
GAUGAAGAACGCAGCGAAAUGCGAUAAGUAAUGUGAAUUGCAGAAUUCAGUGAAUCAUCGAAUCUUUGAACGCACCUUGCGCCCUUUGGCCAUUCCGAAGGGCAUGCCUGUUUGAGUAUCAUGAACACCUCAACUCUCAUGGCUUGCCAUGAUGAGCUUGGACUUUGGGGGUCUUGCUGGCCUGCGGCCAGCUCCUCUCAAAUGAAUUAGCUUUCCAGUGUUUGGUUGGCAUCACAGGUGUGAUAACUAUCUACGCUUGUGGUUUCCACCAGGUAACCUUCAGUAACAUGGGGGUUUGCUGGAGCUCAUAAAUGUCUCUCCUCAGUGGGGACAGCUCUUCGAACGUUUGAUCUCAAAUCAGGUAGGACUACCCGCUGAACUUAAGCAUAUCAAUAAGCGGAGGA